rnacentral:rRNA from 1 species
AUUGAACGCUGGCGGCAGGCUUAACACAUGCAAGUCGAGCGGGGUGAUGGUGCUUGCACUAUCACUUAGCGGCGGACGGGUGAGUAAUGCUUAGGAAUCUGCCUAUUAGUGGGGGACAACAUCUCGAAAGGGAUGCUAAUACCGCAUACGUCCUACGGGAGAAAGCAGGGGAUCACUUGUGACCUUGCGCUAAUAGAUGAGCCUAAGUCGGAUUAGCUAGUUGGUGGGGUAAAGGCCUACCAAGGCGACGAUCUGUAGCGGGUCUGAGAGGAUGAGCCGACGCACGGGGACUGAUACACGGCCCAGACUCCUACGGGAGGCAGCAGUGGGGAAUAUUGGACAAUGGGGGGAACCCUGAUCCAGCCAUGCCGCGUGUGUGAAGAAGGCCUUAUGGUUGUAAAGCACUUUAAGCGAGGAGGAGGCUCUUUUGGUUAAUACCCAAGAUGAGUGGACGUUACUCGCAGAAUAAGCACCGGCUAACUCUGUGCCAGCCGCCGCCGUAA